rnacentral:rRNA from 1 species
AUGAGGCUGCUAAAAUCAUGCAAGAUGUUGUUCAUUGAAGGGGUGCCACUUGGCUGGCAGCAGGAAGUAAGCCAUCAACAUCAUCAAGAUCCGCUUGAAGGACAACACCAUGGAAGAUGCUCAAUGACCAGAUCGUCGUCCUCUCCGAGAGGAGGGGCCAGCUCAAGCAGCAUUGAAGGGGUGCCACUUGGCUGGCAGCAGGAAGUAAGCCAUCAACAUCAUCAAGAUCCGCUUGAAGGACAACACCAUGGAAGAUGCUCAAUGACCAGAUCGUCGUCCUCUCCGAGAGGAGGGGCCAGCUCAAGCAGCAUUGAAGGGGUGUCACUUGGCUGGCAGCAGGAAGUAAGCCAUCAACAUCAUCAAGAUCCGCUUGAAGGACAACACCAUGGAAGAUGCUCAAUGACCAGAUCGUCGUCCUCUCCGAGAGGAGGGGCCAGCUCAAGCAGGUUGCCGCUGGAACUAGAUGGGGUCUCCAGCCAGCCGCCAUGUGGCUUGCAGUAG